UAUGGAGACUCUGGCAUUUAGAGUGUCUGCGGUCUGGGGUAUUGCUUUUGCCAUAGCUUUUAAUGGUUAUCUUCCGCCUUAAUGGGGACCUUGGCACAAUGAUGGCAUGGAAGGUUUAGCAGGCACAAAUUCUUACCUGCGUGCGGUGAUGAAGUUAGAAAACACAUCAGAAGAGUCAAUGUUUCUGUUUGCUUGAUCCAUAGAAAUUCGGUUGCUUUAAUUUCUGUCCUCGUAAAAAAUCAUGCAAGUCUGCUCGUUCUUUCAUCAAAACUGAUUCAUACCUGAGGGACACUUGUAAUUUGGAAGUAAUUAGUGAAUAAGUCAGAUAAAUACUAUCCAUUGAGAUUCAUGAAAGCACGUUGGACAGGAUUCAUAAAGAGCUGUAUCGAAUUUCAACAAUUAAAGCUUACAAAAUUAUCAGUAUGGUAAGUCCAUUUCAUCACAAAUGAGUUCAGUGUUAAUGACCUCUGUCUUCUGAGCAAUCUGAAGAGAUUUCACAAUCUCAGAAAGCGGCUAAAGUAGAAGGAGAAAUUCUGUAAAAGUUGAGCAAAAGUGUGACUGUAUCCGGCUAUCUGGUUUACUUACAAGCUGCAUUUAUUGCAAACUGAUCUGCUACACAGUUCUUCUUAGAUUCAUCUUUAAAUUGUAAAGUCUUCUACUAUGGGACUCUGAGAUGCUGCAGGAUUGUAGUGUAGCUCUGUAGCGACAUGUGGAUGGGCUUCUGUGAAUGCCCAGGGCUAUGCCAUUCCUUCCUGCAAAACAUGAAGUAUGAUAACUUGAUGUCUGUUGUGACCUCUUCCCAAGCUCUAGCAGAGCUUAUACCAGGUGCCAUAUAUGAGGUUUCAGGGACUGUUAUUCAUCUAGCUCACUGUAGUUACUGGAAAUACCAUGGAAUUAUACAACGCAUAGAUAAUUAAAAUGAGGUACAAGUUGCAAUGGAUUAAGGAAAUAUGCUGUUCCUAUACUCUGCUUUAGUGAAUUGGUGCAUUUUUUUUAAUCAGUUAGUCAAAGUGGGUAUAAUAAUCGGUAGGACAAAUGAUGACCAGAACAAGAAUCUUAUUGCUGCUUGAUACAAUUUGUGAUUGCUGCCAGUAUAUUUUUUUUUUUUGUCUUUUUAUACCCAUCUUUAGUGUGAACUUCAAUGUGUAUUUCUCCCACUGGUUCAAGGGGGAAAAAAAAAAAAGGAUCUGAUGGAAAUGGGAAAAUUCUGCUCUGCUUGCAGGGUGCUGUGUAGCACACCCAUAUCUGCUUUAGUAUUUUUAAUUGUAAAACUUCUCUAUCAACAUUACUGACUUGAAAUAUAGAUGCAAAUCAGGAAAUGAAAGGAAGAAUCAUCUAGAUGUUAAUAACAUUAAGCAUGAGCUCUUCGAUCAGACUAAAUGCUCAUUCAUUUAGUCUCUGAACAGGACUGAAAAGCCAUCAGCAAAAUAGGUUUGACAGGAUUGGGUGUUGCUACGGAGUCUAUGUUAAGACAAAGAUUUCUUUCUCAGAACAUUCUCUUUUUGUGCUGGCAGAGGAAACCUUCUUUUGAUCGAUUUAGGGCAGUGAAUUGUCUUCACUUUAUUACUUACUCUUUGCCUACAGCACUUAAAAGCUGCAGAUGUGGAUUGGGGCUGUAUUUUACAAGACAAGGGCAAAAACACGUGGAAGUUUGUCUCUGUUCUUACCAACGUUUUUCCUGAUUCUGUGAAUGGUUGCUGUCAGUGUUAUCAAUAGGCUCCCAGAGUGGAAGAGUGUGCCAUGGAGAAGGAAGGGCUGAGAGAACUGGGGUUGUUCAGCCUGGAGAUGGCAAGGCUUUGGGGAGGCCUCUUUACAGCCUUUCAGUACUUAAAGGGAGCCUAUUUAAAAAAAAAAAAAGACUGAUUUAUUACAUGUUCUGAUAGUGAUAGAACAAGGAGGAAUGUUUUUAAACCAGAAGAGGAAAGAUUUUGAUUAUUUAUUAGGAGGAAAUUCUUUACCCAGAGAGUGGAUAGACACUGGCGCAGACUGCCCAGAGAAGCUGUGAAUGUCCCAUUGCUGGAGGUGUUCAAGGCCAGGUUGGAUGGGGCACUGGGCAGCCUAAUUUAGUAGAUGUCCCUGCCCACAGCAUGGGGUUGGAACUAAACCAUCUGUAAGGCCGCUUCCAACCAAAACCAUUCCGUGAUUAAAGCCAGGAACCUGAAGAGAUGCCAGCACUGGCUCCAGACGGACUUAUGGGAUAUGCAAACAAGCAGGUGAGCGUGCUAAGGAACAGUGGGCAGAUCCAAGCUACAUCUUGCAACAGCCAGGAGGGAGCCUGCACCCACACCUACUCAGUUGCCAGGAUGCCACUAGGUAGUGGUAAAGGAGAAAUGAAAGUUUCAGGCAUCUUCCUGAGAGGGUGGAUGGUGAGAGGACAUGUGUCAUUGGUGACUUGAAGGAGCUGCUGCUUUUUGUGGGGCAACCUCCAGUGCUCCCCCUGUGAGUCCUUAUCCCUGCUGAGGUAGACCAUUUCCCUUACCUUCCUCCUUUUCCCCCAGGGGAAUCACGUUCUUCUCAGCGGAGCAUGCAAAAGAUAGGCUUUUUUAAUGAAAUCAGCAGUAUUUCAAAGAACUGACUAUUGGCUGAAGACCAAAGAUGACAUAGCAAGCAUUUGAAAUCCCAAAUAAAGAAUUUUAUGAAAAUCUUGCAAAUUUCACUUGUUGAAGAAUUGCAGGGAGGGAAUGGAUACUGAUUAACUUCAGACUUCAAAGUCAGUAUUUAAAUUGAGAAUUUUUCCUCUGGAGGUAAAGGCAUGUCAGCGACCUCUGCCAGCUGUCUUAGUAAUAAAUGUAUUUUCUAUUCCUCGGAUUCAGCUGUAGUAUCCUAUAAAACUAAAAAUACAAAGGUUUAGAUUCCACCGUCUCUUACAAUGGUUAAAAUUAGCACCAAAUGCUAAUUCCACUGAUGUAUCCCGGGAGGAUUAGACCAAAAUAUUAUCCUGUUAUUUCAACUUCUAUAGCAAAAACAACAAAUGCAGCUGUCUCGCAGUCCAGCCAGCUCUCUCUCACAUUUCACCUCAGUUUCUCACUGUUGUAAUGCUGUCAGAGCUUUCAGAGACUCUUAAUUUUUUUUUGUUCAACUUUCCACCUUGUAAAGUCCUUUGUACUUUGUAGGGAGUGAAUGGCAAGCUCUAGGCAAGAAGAUUGGCUCUACUUCAUGCGCACAGCAUGUAGGCACUAAUGACUGCACAAAGGGUAAAGCUAUGGAGAAGCCAACCAGCAACCUUGAUCUGACACUAUUCCUUAUGCUGGUUCCAUGAUGAUAGUCCUCAGAGAUCCUGUUUCUCUGCAAAGUUUCCAGUCAGAGUUUUAAAACAAGAGCCUGCUUGCCUGCUUUCUGGAACAAAUGUAGAAGUACAGACUAGAGCCUAAUAAAAAAGCUGCAAGAAAUUGAUGCCAUCAUGUUUGGUUACACAUGACAUCAGUAUAUUGGCAUGGGCUGCUCCUAACUGCGGUUUUGCAGGAGGAAGGGAUUAAAACCUCCUGUGGGAAGGGCAGGAUUAGUCCUGCAGAAACCAGGCUGUGCUGAAGAUAGGCAGCAACUCCUGCUUCUGCUUGCAGACUUUUGGCACCGUCCCUGCCUGUAGUUUGGAGCAUCUCUGCAUGGUGUGUGCAGCGACAUUCCCAGGUGGAAGAGGGGAAAGUAUGUGCAGCUGUUCUGGAUUCUAAUCCAUUGCAAAGCUCAGUCCCCAGUGUUGCAUGGGGUUGCAGGGGAGCAAGGGUCCUGCUGCUUACCCAGUCCUCACAGUUGUUACGGAAGCAUGCUGGCCAUCUACUGAUUGGGUGACAUAGGGCAGGAUAUCCUGGGACAGACUGUCUCCCAACAUGAGGGGAACUCACCUGGUGGGUUUGAUUCUGAUGGGAGGAAGUUUUUCCUUCCAGUUCUCACUCCUUGGUGCUGUGGUAACCCAGCUUUCCCGCCCUGUGCACAGCUGGACUUCCUUCCUGCCCAUCACAACCUCUCUCUCUCCCUUCCUCUCCUUCCUUUCUUCUGUGCUCGCUUUAUCAUGGACCUUCCCUUGACAGUAAAAGUAAAUACCUUAACGAUGUGUAUAGGAAUGAGUAGAAGAUCAGAGAAGAAGUGGUGGCCAUCAGUCCAAUGGCUUUGUCUCUACACUGCUCUUUUAUUUCCAGCCAUCUUGCUCUUUCCUGCAAAUGCCCAGCAUUAGGCUUCUCAGGAGCCUGAUGCUGAUCAGAUCCUCUGGGAUCAUGAUCUGAGGAUCAUGAGGAGCUCCUGGAAUGGUGGGUAGAGUAGGUGCCAGCUAUGUUAUGAGAAUUACUUUUCAGUACGACUGUAUGAUACUUACACCACUUUGUAGUUUUUGAGGAGACCAGGAGUGAUUCACUGCAAAGUUGUUCUGAAUGUUAACGUGCAGGGACAUGUGCAUUUCUAACCCUUAGUUAUGAAACUGAGACUGUGGUCAGCUCAUAACUAGUCUGUAAAAGACAGAGAUGGCGUUUUCACUCUCAGGAGUGUUGAAUCUCAGCGUGUAUUGGAGAAUGAGAUAAGGUGUGGCAAGCGGGGUGGAUGGAGUUUGACCUGUGAGGUGCAGUCAGUCCCUGCGGUGCCAGGUUUUCCAUGGCUUUUGAUGCUGUGAUGUUCAUUGCCGUUGGCAGUGGCAAAGCUUGUAUGUGAGGCUAAGAGUGAGUACAGUUAUUUCUACUUCCCUGUUGUCAACCCAUGCUCACAUACAUGUAUGUAUCCAGGCUGGAUGUGGCUCUGGGCAGCCUGGUCUGGUGGUGGCAACCCUGCACGUAGCAGGGGGGUUGAAACUAGAUGGUCAUUGUGGUCCUUUUCAACCCAGGCCAUUCUAUGAUUCUGUGUGAUCUCUGGGCAGUGCUGGAGGUGCCGUGUGCGUCCUGUAGGAAAGCGAUAGCUGGCCCCAGUGCCAGGCAGUUUGAACUUGAUAGAGUGUGGAGGGAGGGUAUCAGAGGCACAGAAAAUGGUUUUGACCUCCCACUAAAACCUGGAGAUUUACACUUCUAAGUCCCCGUGCUCCUACAGAAUAAUCUGGGACACGUUCCUUGGCAGAAGCCCCACUGAGCAUUUCUCCAGCUGCUAGGUUGCCAGCUUGAGUGAAUUUUACUGCAAGUCUCACUAUGUUUGGUAAUUGUUUUACAGCCUGAGCUACUGGAAAUGGGUCAUUAGUAACAAAUGGAAAAAAAAAAAAAAAAGCUAUCCCCACUGCCCCCCUUCAACUCGAAACCCUAGGUUUUGUCAUAGAACCUGAAGACAGGCACCCUGCCUGCCUAUGUUCAUCCCCAAGAGCAAAGUAAAACCUGGGACUCUGCUUUCCAGAUGCUCCAGCUUGGGAUGCUUGGCUUGCAUUAAACAAAUGACUCAGGUUAACAAUGUUAUCAUUGUGUCCCUCCCAAGGAAUCUCCCUUAAGAAGAAGAUAAAUAUUAAAAAGGCACUGAGCUAUGUUGAAAAUAAAAAGAAAAAAAAAAUCU